GACAGAGGGUGCAAACGUUGCUCGGAAUUACUGGGCGUAAAGCGCGUGUAGGCGGGCAUGCAAGUCGAGUGUGAAAUCCCUGGGCUCAACCCAGGAACUGCAUUCGAAACUGCAUGUCUAGAGUGUCGGAGAGGGAAGCGGAAUUCCUGGUGCAGAGGUGAAAUUCGUAGAUAUCAGGAGGAACACCGGUGGCGAAGGCGGCUUCCUGGACGAUUACUGACGCUGAGACGCGAAAGCGUGGGGAGCAAACAGG
rnacentral:rRNA from 1 species